UACGGAGGGUGCAAGCGUUAUCCGGAUUCACUGGGUUUAAAGGGUGCGUAGGUGGGCAGGUAAGUCAGUGGUGAAAUCUCCGGGCUUAACCCGGAAACUGCCAUUGAUACUAUCAGUCUUGAAUACCGUGGAGGUAAGCGGAAUAUGUCAUGUAGCGGUGAAAUGCUUAGAUAUGACAUAGAACACCAAUUGCGAAGGCAGCUUACUACGCGAAUAUUGACACUGAGGCACGAAAGCGUGGGGAGCAAACAGG
rnacentral:rRNA from 1 species